GGGCGCAAKYCUGAUGCAGCGMCGCCGCGUGAGGGAUGGAGGCCUUCGGGUUGUAAACCUCUUUUGUUAGGGAGCAAGGCACUUUGUGUUGAGUGUACCUUUCGAAUAAGCACCGGCUAACUACGUGCCAGCAGCCGCGGUAAUACGUAGGGUGCAAGCGUUAUCCGGAAUUAUUGGGCGUAAAGGGCUCGUAGGCGGUUCGUCGCGUCCGGUGUGAAAGUCCAUCGCUUAACGGUGGAUCCGCGCCGGGUACGGGCGGGCUUGAGKGCGGUAGGGGAGACUGGAAUUCCCGGUGUAACGGUGGAAUGUGUAGAUAUCGGGAAGAACACC
rnacentral:rRNA from 1 species